CAACCGGGGAGGGUCAUUGGAAACUGGGAGACUUGAGUGCAGAAGAGGAGAGUGGAAUUCCAUGUGUAGCGGUGAAAUGCGUAGAUAUAUGGAGGAACACCAGUGGCGAAGGCGGCUCUCUGGUCUGUAACUGACGCUGAGGCUCGAAAGCGUGGGGAGCGAACAGGAUUAGAUACCCUGGUAGUCCACGCCGUAAACGAUGAGUGCUAAGUGUUGGAGGGUUUCCGCCCUUCAGUGCUGCAGCAAACGCAUUAAGCACUCCGCCUGGGGAGUACGACCGCAAGGUUGAAACUCAAAGGAAUUGACGGGGGCCCGCACAAGCGGUGGAGCAUGUGGUUUAAUUCGAAGCAACGCGAAGAACCUUACCAGGUCUUGACAUCCUUUGACCACUCUAGAGAUAGAGCUUCCCCUUCGGGGGCAAAGUGACAGGUGGUGCAUGGUUGUCGUCAGCUCGUGUCGUGAGAUGUUGGGUUAAGUCCCGCAACGAGCGCAACCCUUAUUGUUAGUUGCCAUCAUUUAGUUGGGCACUCUAGCGAGACUGCCGGUGACAAACCGGAGGAAGGUGGGGAUGACGUCAAAUCAUCAUGCCCCUUAUGACCUGGGCUACACACGUGCUACAAUGGGAAGUACAACGAGUUGCGAAGUCGCGAGGCUAAGCUAAUCUCUUAAAGCUUCUCUCAGUUCGGAUUGUAGGCUGCAACUCGCCUACAUGAAGCCGGAAUCGCUAGUAAUCGCGGAUCAGCACGCCGCGGUGAAUACGUUCCCGGGCCUUGUACACACCGCCCGUCACACCACGAGAGUUUGUAACACCCGAAGUCGGUGAGGUAACCUUUUUGGAGCCAGCCGCCUAAGGUGGGAUAGAUGAUUGGGGUGAAGUCGUAACAAGGUAAA
rnacentral:rRNA from 1 species